GGUGGGGUGCCUGAGUGGCCGAAAGGAGCACACUGCUAAUGUGUUGACCCUUUACCGGGUCCGUGGGUUCAAAUCCCACCCCCACCGCCA
rnacentral:tRNA from 1 species